rnacentral:sRNA from 1 species
CGCACACACAAUUAAGCCUGGAAGCAGCGUGCAACCACCAACCUGGGGAGGGUCCGCAUGUGUCAAGGGUGAGGGCAACAGAUGCUGGACCCAGGGAGCUCUCUGCCACAAGUCAGUCUACAAGGCCUCAGGGACCAACUUGCCAACAGCUGGACUUGAUCACUAGCUGGCAAACUGAGCUCAUGUAUCGGGUGGAAUAACAAGCGGACUUUGCUCUCUGCUGUGCAAAACGCUGUUUUUAGAGGAUUUGCCACAGCAGUGGAUAGAAAGCAGGAGACCACCGGAACCCUUGAGACAUCUUUGAGAAGAGCCGCAGCAUAAGAGACUGCCCUGCUUGGUGUUUUGCAGGAUGAUGGUGGCCCUUCGAGGAGCUUCUGCAUUGCUGGUUCUGUUCCUUGCAGCUUUUCUGCCCCCGCCGCAGUGUGCCCAGGACCCAGCCAUGGUACAUUACAUCUACCAGCGCUUUCGAGUCUUGGAGCAAGGGCUGGAAAAAUGUACCCAAGCAACGAGGGCAUACAUUCAAGAAUUCCAAGAGUUCUCAAAAAAUAUAUCUGUCAUGCUGGGAAGAUGUCAGACCUACACAAGUGAGUACAAGAGUGCAGUGGGUAACUUGGCACUGAGAGUUGAACGUGCCCAACGGGAGAUUGACUACAUACAAUACCUUCGAGAGGCUGACGAGUGCAUCGAAUCAGAGGACAAGACACUGGCAGAAAUGUUGCUCCAAGAAGCUGAAGAAGAGAAGAAGAUCCGGACUCUGCUGAAUGCAAGUAAGAAAACUGCAUCUUUUCCUAGCCCUUCUAGGGACUAUCAUGCUCAGAAACACACAGACUCAGAGCAGUCAGGGAGCAUCAUAGAGUAAUGAGAGUAAGAAUUGGAGGUGUGCUUUUGUGUGCAUUGCUGAGAGAGAAAGCUAUACAGAGAACAGGUGUCCAAAGAGAAAUCCAUUCUCGCAAAGCCAUUGUUUCUUUCACACAGAGUGCCUAAAGACUCCAUAGAAGGUCAAGGCUAUAGUGCCAAAAGUCAGCCCAAGGAGACCACCUCCUGAUAAAUCUUGGUUUGGUGGAGACGUGUGGUCCCAGAUUUUUUCAGGGAAAGUGGCAGUUUGGUGGAUUCUACAGUACCCAGGCUGUAGAUAGCAUCUGCAAAUGUACCAAGAAACAGUCUUAAAUUGGAAAUGGCAACAGCCAACACUCAGGGAUGGGAACUGCAGUGAAUUACUAUUGUGUGUGCUGUCUGAGAUGGUGAUAUGCAUGGGAUGUGGUCUAAUCUUGUGAUCCAUUAGAAUCAUUUCCAGGCCAUUAAGAAUAAUGUGU